rnacentral:rRNA from 1 species
GACGAACGCUGGCGGCGUGCUUAACACAUGCAAGUCGAGCGGUAAGGCCCUUUCGGGGGUACACGAGCGGCGAACGGGUGAGUAACACGUGGGUGACCUGCCCUUAGCUCUGGGAUAAGCCUGGGAAACUGGGUCUAAUACCGGAUAUGACUCCAUGACGCAUGUUGUGGGGUGGAAAGCCUUGUGCGGCUAGGGAUGGGCCCGCGGCCUAUCAGCUUGUUGGUGGGGUGAUGGCCACCAAGGCGACGACGGGUAGCCGGCCUGAGAGGGCGACCGGCCACACUGGGACUGAGACACGGCCCAGACUCCUACGGGAGGCAGCAGUGGGGAAUCUUGCGCAAUGGGCGAAAGCCUGACGCAGCGACGCCGCGUGAGGGAUGACGGCCUGGUGUAACU